CAAAAGCAGAAAUCCAAGCCACGGACGAGGCGAAAAGCCAGACAGAAAGGGAGUUGAGUACUGGACUGAACGAUUUAUAUAUUCUUCACAAACCACAACCAAAAAAGAGUACUUGAUUAGCAACUCCAUUACAGAUACUAGAGGUUGAUGCGGAAAACAGAAGGUAACUCAUGUCCAACUAACAUGAACCAGGCGUCGUCUGGCGACACCAUCCACAUUUAUUCUUCGCAUAGACAAAGCAGGGACACCUCUGACCAGGCGCCACAAACGAAAGCAGAACGCUCUACUGAGUCUUGGCCAUGUGGCGGAUCAGGUCGACAACGCGGUUGCUGCAGAGGAAUAAGAUUCAAG
rnacentral:lncRNA from 1 species